rnacentral:rRNA from 1 species
UACGAAGGGUGCUAGCGUUGUUCGGAAUCACUGGGCGUAAAGGGCGCGUAGGCGGCUUGACAAGUCAGAGGUGAAAUCCCAGGGCUCAACCCUGGAAUUGCCUUUGAAACUGUUAAGCUAGAGUAUUGGAGGGGAUUGCGGAAUUGCUAAUGUAGAGGUGAAAUUCGUAGAUAUUAGCAGGAACACCGGCGGCGAAGGCGGCAAUCUGGACAAUAACUGACGCUGAGGCGCGAAAGCGUGGGGAUCAAACAGG